rnacentral:misc_RNA from 1 species
UUGCAUUAGUACCUUUCUAAUGUUGUUACUUAAUCUUUAAAGUUUCAUAUUUUUUAUGUACUAAACUCAGGAAACUAUCCUUAUUACAUGGCUAAUAUGCAUGUCAUUACAUCUUUUUAAAUGUGUAUUCAUAGUCCAAAAGCAAAUAUGAUCAUCUAAUUUGUGAUAUAUGUAACCAAACUGUUUGAAUUGUAGAUGACAAUUGACAAUGAAGUGUUCU